rnacentral:rRNA from 1 species
AGUAGCCGGCCUGAGAGGGUGAACGGCCACAUUGGGACUGAGACACGGCCCAGACUCCUACGGGAGGCAGCAGUGGGGAAUAUUGCACAAUGGGGGAAACCCUGAUGCAGCAACGCCGCGUGAGUGAUGAAGGUUUUCGGAUCGUAAAGCUCUGUCUUUGGGGAAGAUAAUGACGGUACCCAAGGAGGAAGCCACGGCUAACUACGUGCCAGCAGCCGCGGUAAUACGUAGGUGGCGAGCGUUAUCCGGAUUUACUGGGCGUAAAGGGAGCGUAGGCGGAUGAUUAAGUGGGAUGUGAAAUACCCGGGCUCAACUUGGGUGCUGCAUUCCAAACUGGUUAUCUAGAGUGCAGGAGAGGAGAGUGGAAUUCCUAGUGUAGCGGUGAAAUGCGUAGA